UUAUAUUCUGACAAAUAUUUUUUUCAUAAAAUUUAAAUUCCAUUCCACGAGAGUAAAAAUAACAAAAUAUAUAUUUUUACUACAAUUUUUUAUUAAAAUUUUUACUACAAUGAAAGGACAUUUUAUAAUGUGAUCCUUUCGUCAACAACCAGAAGCAUUUAAUUACAAAAAAUAUAGUAAAAACUUUCUCAAUCUAUCUGAAAUCACCUUUCAUACUACAUCAGUACAUACAAACUGGGCCAUGUUUUGAAAUGACAUGAAUGUCAAAGAGACCAAAAUUCACCACACAAAAUCAAAUGUUCAUUGUUCAAAAUGUUCACUGUUAGAUUAGGUUCACAUGAACCCAAACUUUGGACUUUUUAAAGUGAAUUAAGUGGUUCCUCUGUGCGCACCAAAGUUCUAAACAAGCUAACAGAACUUUAAGAUCAAUGCUCAUGAAAACCUGUUGUGUUCCCUCAUAAUCUUUAAUCAAAAACAUUUAAAUGACUGCUCGCUAUGGAAUCUCUUUUCUGAUGACGUGUACAACAGCACAAUAAGAUUGUCCAAUGGCCAGAUGAGUUUCAAUCCCUCCCCAUCCUGUCGCUCACAUGAAACAAUCAAGCAAUUAGCAAACAACAACUUUCUACAAUCUAAUUAACUCCCAAUUAACAAAUCAAGUGCCAUUUUACUUUUUUCUUGCUCAAGAAGCCGUUUCAACUCAAACAUAUAUGUCAAAAUAGGGAAGAAACGUUGGUCCAUCAUGGCAAAUUUUCUGUUCUGAAAAUCCUCAAUGGUUUUCAGCAGUUCACGCAGUAAGUCUUAUAUACUGGCUGAUGGACUGAAGUAAAGUGAAAACUUGAGAGCAUCUUGGCCCGGCUGAGCAGAGCGAGGCUUCCCCCUGCCCACGCACAGUCCUGCUUACUCCCGUUAAAAGACCGAAUACAGGAAAUUGAUAUUGUCACUGUUUAUGUCUGCGGGGAAAUUUUAACCGCAGCUCCCUGUCAGCCAGCCAUGUCUCACUGGCGUACUGCAUUGUUUGAGCGCUCCUCAGUUGGUGGCUCCGAGGAGGUUAGAAAGGUCAGAGUCUGCAAAUACUGUCCGCGCUUGUUUCUCUCAAGGCUGUGUGAGUCACUCUAAUAGCUGUUUACAUAAGGCUAAUGCCAGAUUGGUUCCAUUUAGCUACCACAAAACUAGGCUUAAGAAGAUCUUGUGGUGAAAAAUUUAAGAAACAGACUUAAACAUGCAGCCAUAAGCAUGAAGGAUAUUAGAUCUUUUUUCUUAAAAAACACCAUGCCUGUAAUUGCAGCCAUCACUCGAAUAAAUAAAGAGGAAGGAGUGUUUUAUCUCAUUGUUAGACAUUCAUCCAACACAUAAUUAUUUCCAAAUCAAUCUCAACAAAUUAAAUCCACAAUCUGAUGAAAGAGAAGCUCUGAAUGACAGAGGUUGAGUCUGAAAAAAAAAAAAAAAAUCAUAAAGUCAUCUGAAGCCAUAUGUCAGGUUAAUAUGAGGAUAUGGUGUAAACAUGGUGUAACUGAAGGUUAAGGUUGCAACUUUUUUUCGCAAAUUUUUUUAAAAAAUAAUUAUAUUUCAGGAUUCCAGAAGUUUCAAGAAAUGAAUGAAUUCUUCAAGAUUCCUUCUAACCAAUGAAUUUACAUGAUAUUUUUAGUUUGUGAUUUAUUGUAUUUUUUAAGGAUUAAGGGGUUUUUAAAAAGUAAUUUUUACUCAAUAAAAUAUUAGCAUAGCAUUGAAAAUGUAUAUUCAUUACAAAAUGCCCAUUGCAUCACACUUUUAAAAUUAGGCUUCCUCAUACUGUAUAUCCUGGCUUUCCAAGACUGUGGGAACUCUGUUUCUCUCUCUCUCUCUCUCUCUCUCUCUCUGCAUUCCACAAAAGAAUUAUCUUUUUUUUUUUUUUUUAGCAAUUCAUUUUUAACUGUUUUUUCUUUAAAUUAAAAAAAAAAAAAACUAGGAGAAUCCAUUAAAAUAAGCAACUAAAAUAAUUAUAAUUAAAAUUAAAUUAAAUAAUUAAAUUUCAGUUUUAAGAACUUAAUGUUCUUCAGGGAUUUUUCUGCAUUACACAAAAGAAUGAUAUAUAUUGGAAAUGAUAUAAAUAUGUAAAUUAAUGAAUAUAUUUUUGCUGGAAACCAUACCAUGCAAAACACUACUGAAUAGUAUGUACAUACAUUUAGCUAACAUAUUUACAGAUGCUUUCAAGACUAUUACAACAAUGUAGAAUAAAUCACAGAAAUCCAAGCCAAAUUUUCAUUCUUAAGAACAAAUGAGAUCUUAAAGCUGGUAGUGGUAAAUAUUAUCAGUAUUCCUUGGAAUAUAGAGCACAAGUGCAAUAUUUUGUCCAUAUUUGAAGCUCUACACCAUCUAUCAUCAACAUCUGCAUUUGCUGUAUGGAAAAGAGCAGCGAGGAAAUUCUUUAAAUGGUUUUAUAUGCUGAUAGAUAUCAAAUGUCCAUGAAGUGUAACAGCAAAACUGUUUGAUGUCGAAUCAAAGGGGACUUCUAGUGAAAAAUGUAUCUCAUGCCUGGUUUCACAUUGCUUUGAUAUGAUGUUGUGCCCAGUGGGAGCAUGAAGGAGUCACUGGCACAGGUAUGGAGCCAACCUGACUACAGCACACUAGUGUGUCCCACAGACACCAGUGUGUAGUUGACAUGUUGAUGGAUGAUGUCUAAAAGUGUGAAAAAGAAAUUAGUCACAGUCAGGAACUAGCCAGAGUCAUGUUCUCCUGCUCUGUUCGAAUGGCUUUCUCAUCAGAGUAAAAUCUUACUGCUGAGCCGUUUCACAGAUUGAAAUCUCAUUCUUCUUUUGGAGGACUGUACGCCCACACUUUGAGCAGAUUUAUGGCCCUCCCGCUCCGGGUCUUCUGUUCGCAGGUCGGUCCCGAGGCCUCUCCUCCUCACAGACCGACAGUACUGCAUGUUUCACAGAUUAGAGGCGCGCGGGAGAAAAUAAAGGACCUGAACUUUCACAAGCAGCGCUCGGUUUGCCUUCCAACUCUUCUCUCUUCAGCCCAAAGAUGGCUGUGAUUAAUGCAACGGCUUCCACAAAAGUCACAAAAGUCAAUGCCAGGGUCAGGAAAGCACCCUCCGAAAAGAGAAACGACACAUGGUGUAACGGUAUUUAUGUCUCACAUUUAAACAGCAGGGACUUUAAAAAGCCUGCACAUCUGUAUAAAUAUUGGGUGUGUGAGAGUAUUUGUGAGGAACGAGCUUGGUGAAUGAGGGGAACGGCAGGUCAAACUCUUUAAAAGGCAAUCUGUUUUCUCCAUUCAACAUAAACGCAUUCCCUUCUGUCGCAGCACUAUACAAUACGGAGGCCGGUCUCUCAUUCGUCUCUGUGCACCAGGGAACUCUCAGCGAGUUGCAGUCUUCCAUAUCCCUCUUUCCCUUUUACGGCCUGUUAGCUUAAGGUAUCCCAACAUGCACGUCUGGAAUGUCGACUAAUGAGGGGGAAAAAUGAUUCGGUAAGAGGCCAACGCAAGUAACAUUCCAUCAUAUACUCUCUUAACUCCAGCUCUCUGCCAAAAAGCCUAUCCAGGACGAGUGGCAUAAAGAAAGCAUUCUCUUAAGAAUUAAUAUCUAUCCUUGAGCCUGCUAGAUAGGGCCCUUUGGUGCGAAAGGAAUAAUAUUUUGGUUGGCCUCGUGUUAGGAGCACAGGAUGUGCUUUGGAGCGCAAGAGGUCUGAGCUAUCGAGUGCCAAUGUAUUCACCUUCAGGAAGCGGGCUGUGAUAGAGUAAGAUACCCCUCUCCCUGCCUUCACUUCCUCUGUCUUACAGGAGGCUGUUUUAUUGCUAAUCGUAUUCGCUUUCCACCAUUAAUUCCCGAAAACGGAUUGUGAAUAUGCACAAAAUUAACAGCUCUGGAGCUAUGGAAAUUAACCCUCAGAGCCCGGUGAAUGUGGUGGCAAGUUCUGCUGGAUUUUUUCCUCAUGACAGCAGAAAGAAAUUAAAAUACUCCAUCAUUUGUGGCCCUACAGAUUAGUGUAAGACAUCAUUAUAAAAUAUAAAGGGUCUACUUUUAAUUGUGUACACUCACAAUAACAACAACACCUUGUUUCUGUAAAAUAAAGAAAAUAAACAGGGUGCGCUUUCAGCGGUCAUGUACAAGGCACGCCAACCUGCAAAUGCCCCCACCACCUCAAAACAAAGCAUUAGCUUCAUCAUUCCUUUGCUUCUCACAGAGUUUGGGAGACCUGCUGUGAGUUUACCUUGAAUUUACCUCAAAAGAAGAAGCACGCGAUUGAUAUCCAGCAGAGGUAAGUCAUUUAUUCCCACUAACAUUAAAGUGUUUUUGUUACAUAAACUGUAACAUGUUAAAAUGUUUAGACAGUGUUUACAGUGAAAUACAGUGUUUGUGAAUAUCUUCUCAAACGUAUGUUUAUAUUGUGCUAAGUAAACAAUAAUGUUUUUAUAGAGUAAAUGGUCUCUGUAAGCACUGUGAGUUUGAGUCACUUAUGAUGUGCAUUUGAAAAGCAAAACGCGCACACUUCAUAACAUCAUAAGUGUUUGAAAUCAUUUUCAUUUGGGAUCUGAAGUGGCUUCUUAUCACAUAAUGGGACAGACAGUAUAUUAUUUUGAAGUAUUCUAAUAAAUUAAUUAGGGGUGUCACGAUAUACCGGUAUUGACGAUUAACCGUGAUAUUUAAAACAUGAAAAAUCGAUAUUGUGUUAAUUAAGGGUAUGACAAUAUAUUGUGAUAACCGUAAUAUUUAGAAUGAAUUAUACACAUGAUAAUAUGACACGUAAAUAAUCCAGUGGCAGUACCUGGUUGACAUCCCAAAGUACAAUAGGCGGUGGUAUUGCACCUUAACGCUGCCAUCUGACAUAAAACAGAAGAAGAUGCAGAGCGUGCAGCUGCUACUGCCGUGCAAAAUCAUGUUGUCUGAUAAGACAGAGGAGAUUCUCUACACAGCAGAGCAUGUGAGUGAAAACACUUUUAGUUUCAUAUUUAUCUUUAAAUAUUAUAAUGUUAUUUUUUAAUUUAAUUUAUGUUGAUAUUAUGAUAUUAUGUUUAUUAAAAGUGAACAGCACGAGUAAGAUAGGAUAGCUACAUCAAAAGAUGCGCAAUAUAUCAGGAGACAUGGAGUGGGUCAGACAUGAUUUUGACCACUUCAAUAAAUUUUGUAGAAAACCUUUCGUUAAAGUGAUUUUCAUUUUGUAUAAAUUGUAUCUUAAUUUGAAUCAAUGUUUCAUCAACCAAUUGCCUGGAUUUAAUAAAUAAGCAGCAAAUAUAGCAGACAAUAUAAUGGAGGGGCUGGCGCGAUCACUUGCACGUGAACUGGAGCGCGUCUCAUAAAUGAACCGAAUCAGCUUAUAGGCUAUACUUGCCUCACAGACAAGAGAAAUAUAUCUAUAGAAAGUUUAAAAUGACUACUUCACACUUGACAAAUGACACUUCAAAACAAAAAGAAAUAAGCUACUCUCUGAUUUUUUUAAUCCGUAUGAAAUGUGCAUUUAAAAUGCAGAUAGAGAUGUUUUGAAUGAUUUAACAUGGAGAAUUAACACACCAUUUUGACAGUAUAUGGUUUGUCUUUGUUCAAGCCAUCUUGGUUAUUUUCGCCAAUGUACAUUUAUAGACAAUGUAUAUUUAUAAUGCUAUGCUAAUCUACAUAGCCUUUAUCACUAUAUAGAAUACUAUAAAACAAUAUACCUUCUGCCUCAUCAGAAAGGCUUUUCAGUUCUUCGGGAUACAUUCAGGCAAUAUUUUUUACUCCAACUUGAAAUCAGAUAAACUAAAUGCUUGUCUUCCUUCAUAAAAAUUUGCUAAAAGACAGAGAAUGCAAAAAGUAAAAAUAAUUGUGCCUUGUGUUUAUCAGUUGUUUGUUUAUCAGUUGUUUAUCAGUAUCUGAUUACCCUUAAGUAUAGUUGUUGUAUGCAAUGGUGUGAUUCAUUGACUUAAUGAAUGAAAAAGAAUGAAAAAGACAAAAGUAAAGAUGAGUUUGACUGAUAACAUUAGGUUUUUUUCAAGGUUUCUAUAGAUAUCACACUAUAUCGAUAUCAUGAAUUCUUUUGGCCAAGAUAACUGUGGCGUGAAAAAUCUGAUAUUGUGACAGCCCUAAAAUGAAUGCAUUGUUGAUUAGAGUUGCAUUAAAAAAGUUAUUAUGAAAAUAUACAAGACGGCUUGAAGAACACAGAUAAACCAUAUACUCUCGCAAAUUGUGUUUAUUGUUUUCAUAUUUAAUAAGUCAAAGUGUUUCUAUCUUCUUUUUAUUCAGCUAUAGUGAUAGUUGUACUAUGGAUAUCCUUGAAUGGCACGUAAUUUUACUUCUGUGAGGCAUAUUUGAACUUUCUGCACGCCCUCCGACUUCCAGUAUGAAUUAAACAUACAUAAAAAAAUUUUUCUCAAAAAACAAUUUUAACCAGAAAAACCACAAUUAGACGCAGACCUAGUUGUUUCUGAUGUCAGCAUGUUCAUAGUUGUUUUGUUGUUGUUUUUUUACAGGAACUAGAUACCGCUGAUGAGUCGUACUGAAACUGUUUUUCUCUGUGAACACUGUACAAACAUCUUCAAGCUGCAGUACACAAACAUUGUAAAAUGAAAAAAACAAACACCUUGGAAAUGACAGGUAUAUUGAACAGGAACAGGAAAGGUGUUUUUCAGCUGCCAUUAGGGAAGGGUCUGUGCGAUCCCAGGUGUGAAACAUCAUUAUUCAUGAUCGUUCACACCAUCCCCGCAUACAGCCUCCUGACACAAAACAUGUCUUACAAAUCAAUAUAUUCAGUAUAUUGAUAUACAAAUCAGUAUAUUGUUUUAUGUGAAUGAGUGGGAAGGAUGAUUUUCACACCGCUUUGAAGCAAAAAUUCUAGACUACAUCUUAGAUUUUUCAAAAUUCUUGUGAAAAAAUAUUCAGUAUGGGUUUUAUGGCUUUAUUUCAGUGACUUAAUUUUUUUUUUUUUUUCACAAAACAUGCAUAAACAAUUUUAUCGAAACUACAAACUUUUACAUACAUGCUGCUCACAUAUUAUUGUAGCAGAGUUUGUGUUUAAUACAGUGUAAACAGACUUUACCCAUGAAAAUGUUAAAAGUAACAGAAAUAAGCACAAAUGUCAGGGCAUGUCAAAACACCUUCAGGGCCCAGAAAACACCUCAGGGCCAAGAGGGUUAAAGGACGAUUCUAAGUCAGAUACAGCAUAAGUUUCCAAUGAGCGAAUGUCACAUAUGCAUAAAACACUUUUAAGGGCAUUUGGAGUCAAAACUUGAAAUAUAAACGCUCAAAGAAUGCAUUUAAUACCAACAUAUUGAACCGUCUAUUUAUAUAUUCAUAAUCCCUUACUAAAGGAGUCCCAACAUUAGAAAAAUGUCAGUCUAUAUAAUUGUUUUAUAUUUUAGAUGAGGGAAAUAUACAUGCAUUAUGUUAAGUUUUGGGUGACAAAUUUUUUAGGAAUUCUGUGACUUACAUUGCGCGAACCAAAAGUAAUACUGCCCAUCGAAUGAAGAAGGGUUGGCUCUCCACAGAACAUAAAAUUCAUUUUAUUUCAUUUUUUGUGUUCCCAUUUAUGAGGAAAAAACAACGUUACGGACGUGACCGGUCGAAAGCAGCCCAGAAAACUGCUUUUUUUAUAUAAGUUGUACUGUAUAAUAUAGACCUAACUUUUGAUGUUCAUAUUUCGUCCUGUAACUGGCAAGAGGGACAGAAGAUUGGUUCAUGUGCGCCAGAUCUGCUUGAUCUGCCGCUUACAGGCGCUGCAGUAGCUAAUCUGUCAUGUGCUGUAGGUUAUUAAAGCGAGACAUCUAUUGUUUAAAUUUUGGUUUAAAAUCGACUAAAUUUAAAAGUUGAACCUUUUUCAUAUUAAAACUAACAAAGCACAAAGAGUUUUGCGACUAUUGGAUAUAUUCUGAUAUAUACGGUACGGCCUGAAACAGAUCAUAGCAAUAUAAAGAAGCAAAGUCAUAUGAUUUAAUAUGAAGCCGGAUGUUCAGAUGUUCAGAGCAAAGUAGUGAGAUGAACUGUUGAUCCUAAUAAGCAUAAACAUAAUUUAGCUUUGCAUAUAAAGUUUCAAGUUAUUUGCAUUUAUAAUUGUUAUAUGACAUAAACUUAAUCUUUAAAAUGUUACAGACGUGAUAGAGCACUGAAGCGUCUUGACCUCUUUAUUCCAGCCCUUAUAAAUUCAACAGGCAGUGCUGUUAUGACAAAAUGAGUAUAUUUAUUUCUCAGGGAUGCCUCCAUCUUUCUACACAAUGCUUACUGUUAAAAUAAAGUUUAAAAAAGGGGGGUCUUUGAUCCUUUUUUUGAAAGCAUGAAAUAUGGUUGGUUGAAAAUGUAAAGCAUGGUUGCUUACCUCAUAAAUUGUGCACUCAAAAAAAUGAUUCUUGCCACUAUUUGAAAUUAAGCAAAAAAAUCUAAUAAAACAUAUUUAAAAACUAAUAAAAAUACCUAUUAUUACUCCAAAUUACUUUUAUACAACAUGAAUGAAAUGGAUACAAGACCAACCUGAUCAAAUUACAUAAACUAUACUUAAUUUGUUGCCAUAAGGCGCAAAUGCAAGUGUUGCGCAUGCUCACUGAAGUCUGAGUUCAAAAAACAACAUCUGAAGGCGCAAUGGCGAUCUACUGUCUGACUCAGCGAAAAGGAGGAUUUGGAUGAAUAGAUGUGGAUGUUUUACAAGAAACCUCAUCAGUGGGACAAUAACUCAAUUAUGAUAUGUGAGUUUUGUGGAAACGUAAAGUGUGUGGAAGAAGCAUCACAGAACUAUCCAGUAUGUUUAAGUAAUUGAAACAUUCUAAGAUUAAAUUUGGACAUUUUGAGGAGAGAUUCAGUCAACCUGUUCACAGUAAAUUAAAUAAAAGCGGAAUUAAUGCGGAUAACGACUGUGCCACUUCUGUCAAUGUUCAUAGCAGCUGGACAGAUACACUGACAAAAGAUAUCACACACAUUGCAGUUGCAGACAAGUGCGAAGAUAUACACUUCAAAUGAGACUGUCAUAAAGAGUCUGUGUGUGUAUCUCAAUGGGGACAUUACAACACUUCCAGUUCUCCAGAAUUCUUCCAGAAUUCCAGGACUGCAAUCCUGAAGGAACUGAGGGAGGAAUUUCUGAGACCACUCUGGGCCCUUUUGUGACCCUUAAAGAAAGCGCUGAGGAUGAGCCAGUGGAUGUUGGCGUAGCAACAGAGGGUUUAAAACUACUACAACACUUAGGAGUUUUUCCUUUGGAUGCUGUUUGCUGUUUGGAUUGAUCUACACAAUCAAGCUAUGCUCCGAGUCUCAAAUUCACUUUUGAAUUCUUCCAGAAGGUACUGAUGAAUUUAGAUUUUAGGACAUCACACAGAUGUUUCGAUCCACUGGAAGGACUUAGAAACUUUGAAACCUAAGAAACAUUGAAUUGAAGACUAUGAUCAAUGACACUAUGAACCAAUGACACUAACUCAAAUCAAGAGACUACAUCUAAUGCACCUUAUGGCUUCCUCAAACUCUGAUAUUUUUAAAGGGUUAGUUCACCUAAAAAUGAAAUUUCUGUCAUUAAUUACUCACCCUCAUGUCGUUCCACACCUGUAAGACCUUUGUUCAUCUUUGGAACACAAAUUAGGUUAUUUUUGAUUAAAUCCGUGAGCUAUCUGACCUCAGAUAGACUGCAACACAACUACCACUUUCAAGGCCCAGAAAGGUAGUAAAGACAUUGUUAAAAUAGUCAAUGUGACUGCAGUGGUUCAACCUUAAUGUUAUGAAGUGACAAGAAUACUAUUUGAGCGCAAAAAACAAAACAAAAAAACGACUUUCUUCCCUUUUAUGUCAUGCUCCUACGCAGCUGAGGUUGUACACACAUAAUAUCUUAAUUUGUGUUCUGAAGAUUAAUGAACGUCUUAGGGGUUUGGAGCAAAAUUAGGGUGAGUAAUUAAUGAAAGAAAUUAAAUUUUUGGGUGAACUAACCCUUUAACAGAGAUGUUAGCCCUUGUGCUAUUCCUUGUCCAGGAAGUUAACUUGUGAGUAGGACACUUGGGCUGCUGAAUGUCUAAAUGCUGAAAUGUGACAGAUAACAGAAAACCUGUUAUAUGUAAAGUCAAAUAUAAUCCCUCAAAUUGCUUUUCUUUUUUCCCCAAGUGUCCCAAGCAAAAGCACAAACUGACUACCAUACUAUGCAGAGAGAUCCCAAUGUUACCUUGAAUAUAUGAAAAUAAUGCUUGAUGUUGAAAUUUGGUUCCUUGUUGAUCUAUGAACUUUUUGGCACACAGACUUAAACUAAAAAGUCAAACAAGGAGCCAUAACCAUUGUGUUAGUUUCGGAGAAAGCACAAAACUGCUGUAAACAGUUGUCUUAACUUGUGAAAUACUGCAUUAUGUUCUAUUUUUUGUCAGAUUGGAUGUUUCUUAUUAUUCCUGCAGCAAUUGAGACAAUAAAUUUUUAUGAAUGUAACAUGUGUUUGACCAUUUAUUUAAUAUAAAUAAAUUAAUUUAAGGUAGUUAUAUAAAGCAAGUAAGAAUAAGUUAUAUUAAAAGAAUAAGUUUUAUGUAUUACACAAGCUUAAAUUGCAGUUUAUUAGUUAACAUAACCUUUAUUUAAUUAAUUCAAGUCAACCGAACAUGAUGAGGAAGCUUAAGUAAAAGUUAACUUUUUUACAUUGGAUUUAUGUGAUUGAAAAGGAUGGAAAUUUUAUAUGCAAUUGAAUUACAUAAGUUUUAAUUUUUGGGGUUAAAUAUUUUUUUGAGUGUGGAUAAACAAGACAAUUUUCCUAAAAUUUCUGUUAGAGCACAUUAAUACAGUAUAUUACAGACCUAAAUGGACAAUUUAAAAAGCUUUUUGUUCUUUUGGUAAAAUUUUUUUUUCAUGGUAAAAACCUUUGCGUGGAAUUGCCCUUAAAAACAAAGCAAAACACUCGCAGGAAUUAUGUGGGUAACGUAAAACCAUAUCCUCCUAGAAAGGUUGUUGCACCUCAAAAAGGUUGAUUUAAACAAAUUUAGAGAUCAAAUAAUAAUAUUUUUUAUAAGUGCUUUAACAGAUUUUUACAUUUCUACUUUUCAAACCCUCCAAUAAAUCUGAGUAGAUUUUAAAUCCAUGAAAGUGAUAGUUCACCAAAAAACAGAAAAUUAUUUUGUUUACACACCCUCACGUUGUUCCAAAAGUCAUCUGUAUGACUUUUAUUCAUCUUUGAAACACACAUUUUUUUAUGAUUUUUUUUUUUUUGUAUAUCCAUUGAAAGUCUAUGUAAUGAACGUUUUCAAGUUUCAAAAAGUUAUGUAGACAUUGUAACAAUAAUCCAUAUGAAUUGAGCAGUUUGAUCAAAGUCUUCUGAAGAGACACAAUCGCUUUAUAUAACAAACUGAUUUAAUUUAGGCUUUUAUUUAUUUAUAAACAUCGCACAUCAACAUGCAUAUAUAGAACACAACGAAUGAAUGUUUGGAAUGACAUGAGGACAGAAUUUUCAUUUUUGGGUGACCUGAGACAAGCUGAAACUAUUUUCUGUACUAGUUGACAUUUCUUAGGCCUUUAUAUUCAUUAAGUUGUAUUUAAGCAGGAAUAUUUUGUUUAAAUCAAACAAGCCAAAUGCAUAAAAUCAAAUGUGUCAAGCACAUACAGUAUCUCACUUUUCAAAUACACGAUUGAGACGAUGUAUGCAUGUAUUGCCUCAGAAUUUGCGUCUGAAUAGCGCUCCCUCCGUGGGCGUGGCCGCAUUAGUGGCCGAUAAUGAGCUGAAUCACGGGCG